rfam:Dipodomys ordii contig_52427, whole genome shotgun sequence.
GGGAAGUUGGCUCAGUGGUAGAGUGCUUGCCUUGUAUGCAUGAGGCCCUGGGUUUGAUUCCUCAAUACCACA